GAUGAACGCUGGCGGCGUGCCUAAUACAUGCAAGUCGAACGCGCAGCGAAAGGUGCUUGCACCUUUCAAGCGAGUGGCGAACGGGUGAGUAACACGUGGAUAACCUGCCUCAAGGCUGGGGAUAACAUUUGGAGACAGAUGCUAAUACCGAAUAAAACUUAGUAUCGCAUGAUACAAAGUUAAAAGGCGCUACGGCGUCACCUAGAGAUGGAUCCGCGGUGCAUUAGUUAGUUGGUGGGGUAAAGGCUUACCAAGACGAUAAUGCAUAGCCGAGUUGAGAGACUGAUCGGCCACAUUGGGGCUGAGACACGGCCCAAACUCCUACGGGAGGCUGCAGUAGGGAAUCUUCCACAAUGGGCGCAAGCCUGAUGGAGCAACGCCGCGUGUGUGAUGAAGGCUUUCGGGUCGUAAAGCACUGUUGUAUGGGAAGAAAUGCUAGAAUAGGGAAUGAUUUUAGUUUGACGGUACCAUACCAGAAAGGGACGGCUAAAUACGUGCCAGCCGCCGCUGUAA
rnacentral:rRNA from 1 species